rnacentral:rRNA from 1 species
UACGAGGGGGGCAAGCGUUGUUCGGAAUUAUUGGGCGUAAAGGGUGCGUAGGCGGUUUGAUAAGUUUGGUGUGAAAUCUCUGGGCUCAACCCUGAAACUGCAUUCGAUACUGCGUGGCUAGAGUGCUGGAGAGGAGACUGGAAUUUACGGUGUAGCAGUGAAAUGCGUAGAUAUCGUAAGGAAGACCAGUGGCGAAGGCGAGUCUCUGGACAGCAACUGACGCUGAGGCACGAAGGCCAGGGGAGCAAACGGG